rnacentral:rRNA from 1 species
CCUACGGGAGGCAGCAGUAGGGAAUAUUGCUCAAUGGGCGCGAGCCUGAACCAGCCAAGUCGCGUGAGGGAAGACGGUCCUAUGGAUUGUAACCCUCUUUUGUCGGGGAGCAAAAGACGCCACGCGUGGCGUUCCGAGAGUACCCGAAGAAAAAGCAUCGGCUAACUCCGUGCCAGCCGCCGCGGUAAUACGGAGGAGGCGAGCGUUAUCCGGAUUUAUUGGGUUUAAAGGGUGCGCAGGCGGAAGAUCAAGUCAGCGGUAAAAUUGAGAGGCUCAACCUCUUCGAGCCGUUGAAACUGGUUUUCUUGAGUGAGCGAGAAGUAUGCGGAAUGCGUGGUGUAGCGGUGAAAUGCAUAGAUAUCACGCAGAACUCCGAUUGCGAAGGCAGCAUACCGGCGCUCAACUGACGCUCAUGCACGAAAGUGUGGGUAUCGAACAGGAUUAGAUACCCUGGUAGUC